GCCACUGUGGUCUAGCGGUUAGAACGCUGGCCUUGUAAUCCUGGGGUCUCGGGUUCGAUUCCCAGCGGUGCCC
rnacentral:tRNA from 1 species